UUCAUAAGUGAAAGUGUUUAGUUUUAAAAUAGCUGAAAAUUGAGAAGCGUGGGGAUAUUUUGUACUACUAUGUAAAUAUUUUAAUUUUCAUCAUUUUAAAACAAAGUAAAUUAAAUGAGCACUUAGGAUAAAAUACAGUAUAUGAUAUAAUUUGUUGUUUGGUUAAGAAGAGCAAAUCACUCUAACCUGUUGGCUAUCCUGCAAAUCAGCUGUUAUCAUCCUUGGUCAAAGAUGAGAUUCAUGGUAAAGUCAUUAGUUCAGUUCUAGUUCAUGUCUGGGCCCCAUAGCAAACACACACUCGUUGUCAUAACGAGUUUCAAGUGUGCUGUGGCUACCAAUUUGACAACUCGAAUCCGAGCCCUGGGGUACCAUUCCGGUGCUAUAUUUGCAAGUCUACUGACUAAAGUAAGACUGUUCUCAUUUAUAUUAGAAGUAAUUAGUUACAAGAAGUAAUGUACUUAGAAGGGAAGAAUUUGAUUUAAUUAAAUGUCAUGUAUAUUACUA